UAGGAAAUUAGGUUAAUCUAGACCAAAAGCCUUCAAAGCUUUAAGUAAAUAAAUCACUAUUUAUUUCCUG
rnacentral:tRNA from 1 species